AUUGAACGCUGGCGGCAUGCCUUACACAUGCAAGUCGAACGGCAGCACGGGAGCUUGCUCCUGGUGGCGAGUGGCGAACGGGUGAGUAAUGCAUCGGAACGUACCCGGAAGUGGGGGAUAACGUAGCGAAAGUUACGCUAAUACCGCAUAUUCUGUGAGCAGGAAAGAGGGGGAUCGCAAGACCUCUCGCUUUCGGAGCGGCCGAUGUCGGAUUAGCUAGUUGGUGGGGUAAAGGCCUACCAAGGCGACGAUCCGUAGCGGGUCUGAGAGGAUGAUCCGCCACACUGGAACUGAGACACGGUCCAGACUCCUACGGGAGGCAGCAGUGGGGAAUUUUGGACAAUGGGCGAAAGCCUGAUCCAGCCAUGCCGCGUGAGUGAAGAAGGCCUUCGGGUUGUAAAGCUCUUUCGGCUGAAAAGAAAUCGCACAGGCUAAUACCCUGUGUGGAUGACGGUAUCAGCAUAAGAAGCACCGGCUAACUACGUGCCAGCCGCCGCCGUAA
rnacentral:rRNA from 1 species